CGGGACGUGGCUCAGCCUGGUAGAGUACUCGGUUCGGGACCGAGGGGUCGCGAGUUCGAAUCUCGCCGUCCCGACCA
rnacentral:tRNA from 1 species